UAGCAGAAACCCUAAGAGCCUCUCUGCCGUCGCCGCAAGCCGCAACCACCCCCUACGUGCGCGCCGCUCCCACGCCCAGCAGUCCCCCUUGCACUCCGCAGAUUGCGCCGCCCGCCGCGAAUCUCGCACACGCCUCCAAGCACGCACCUGCAAACAACCCAAAAAAAAGCAACAAACAAGAACAAAUAGCAACGAAAAAGAAGGAAAAUAACAGAUUUCGAAUAGAGAAUAGUUUUUUUUUCUUCUUCUUUCUAUUAUUUUUAGGCUAUAAAAGCCCUAUUCCAUGUACUCAAAAAGGGGGGG
rnacentral:lncRNA from 1 species